rnacentral:piRNA from 1 species
UCGAGAACGAUUUUUGUGGUU